GGAGAUGAUGUUAAUGUGGACAACUUUUUGGCUGUUCUCCUUGGUAACAAAACUGCUCUUACUGGAGGUAGUGGAAAGGUGGUGGAUAGUGGUCCGAAUGAUCAUAUUUUCGUAUUCUAUAGUGAUCAUGGUGGCCCUGGGGUGCUUGGUAAGUAGCUUAUUUAUCUCUCAUUGGGCUUUUGCUUUGCUUUCUAUAUCUCAUAUUCUAUAGUGAUCAUGGUGGACCUGGGGUGCUUGGUAAGUAGCUUAUUUAUCUCUCAUUGGGCUUUUGAUUUGCUUUCUAUAUCUCGCAUUUUUAUAUCUGAUUGCCUUUUAUUAAGGCUUGCAUCUAAGCCUUCAAUUCAAGACCUUUCUGUCUAUUGAAUAUGAAUGAUGAUUGCUUCACUGCUUUCUACUGUUUGACAAGCAGAUGAUGCCUACUAUAGUUAGGAAGGCCAAUAAUCUUUGUUUAAUGUUGUCUCUGGUUCUUAUAUGUUGAAUCUGCUUUGAGUUCAGUUUGUCAAUUGAUUACCAAUAAACCUGUGGUAAUCGUCCCCUAGUGCAACCUCUCCCCUAACAAAAAGAAUCUGGCAAAGCAUCUAUGAGAAAACCAAUAGAACAACUGUAUGCUCAUGGUUCCAGUUUCCCAAACUUCACUUUUCCACUUCCAUCUUAAUUGGCAAAUACAUCUCUGAUUUUUGUAAUACAUACAUCUAUAGUGGAUGAAAUCACCAGUACAAAGCUUAAACAUAAUCUCUAUCAAACUUGUCUCUUUGUAGUGCCUGUUCAUGAACCACCUUCACUUUCAGUCGUCAAGCUAUGGAGUGAGCACCUUUGUCUGUAGUUCUAUUAUUUGUGUGGAUCUAUUAAGAAGUGGCAUGUUAUUGGACAUGAUUUUUAACAUAUAUAAGGUAUUAGGUAGAGUAUCCCCUUUGUUGCAUGCUUACUGUCCUUUUUUCUUAAUAAUCGUUGUGUCCGGGUCAAGCUUGUGCGCACCUCGACUAAUUUUAUGGAUACCUUCCACCUCCCACCAGCAACAAAUGCCAUGUAAUUUUGUCCACCAAGGCUAUGGAAGAAAUCACCUAGCAUUUUUGUCUCCACUGGUAUUCGAACUUGAGACCUCAUGGUUCUCACCCACU
rnacentral:lncRNA from 1 species